rnacentral:lncRNA from 1 species
CCAAAUCCUGUCUGACCUGGAUUGCACACCUCCAGGUCUCCUCCGCAGCGGCUGGAAAGCUUUCACAAACUGCAAAACACAUCCAAUUGUGGUCCUGCGUCCUGUGUUCCUGUGUUGGAGGUCACUGACUAAAGUCAGGAAGGGACGUGUCUGAGCCUCUGC